rnacentral:rRNA from 1 species
UUCUCCCUUCUGAUGAAUCAUGAUGUCAUUAAUUUGAUGUUGUGGGGAGUCAGGACUGUUACUUUGAAAAAAUUAGAGUGUUUAAAGCAAGCACGCGCUUGAAUACAUUAGCAUGGAAUAAUGAAAUAGGACGUUCGAUUCUAUUUUGUUGGUUUCUAGGAUCAACGUAAUGAUUAAUAGGGAUAGUUGGGGGCAUUAGUAUUCAAUUGUCAGAGGUGAAAUUCUUGGAUUUAUUGAAGACUAACUACUGCGAAAGCAUUUGCCAAGGAUGUUUUCAUUAAUCAAGAACGAAAGUUAGGGGAUCGAAGACGAUCAGAUACCGUCGUAGUCUUAACCAUAAACUAUGCCGACUAGGGAUCGGAUGAUGUUAAUUUUUUAAUGACUCAUUCGGC